UGCCAUCAUGAAGUUCAUUGCGCAGUAAUAUCCAGUUUGGAUUCUUGUGUAAAUUGCAGUGGACCCGUUUCUAGUCGAAAAUGGCUUGGCUUAACAUGCAAAUUGUGUUCAAGAUCAUGGCACAAAACCUGCUUCAUGAAGAAUGAGAAAUCGAUGGAUGUUACAUUUUCCAGUUCUGAAGAAAGCAGUUCUGAUGAAGAGUAUACUCCUCACGCUGAAAACAGCAUUGAUGAAUCCUCUGAUGAAUUCAUCCCAGAUUCAAGACAAAACAGCGACAGUGGUGAUAGUCUAACUAUCAAUACAAGGAAUCCACCAUAUUGUAAGACCACUCAACUAUUUUCAGAGUCUAAGAAGGCAGAGAGUGUGUCUCAACCCACUCACUGUUCAUCCACUGAGCAAGAUAUGGUUAGUGACAAAUCCAGCUCUGCUCAAGAUCUCGUAUGUAAUGAUCACAACACUACCACAAGGAAUAUGGAGAUGCUUCAGAGUUUUAAGAAAACACCAAAAGAGUCUUGUGAUAAACAGUCAAACCUCAAAGACACUUUUUCCACCCACAAAAAUUACUGUUAUGUGUGCAAGAAACCUCAGUCUAAAAUUGCCCGUCACUUUAAAAAGCAUGAAGACAGUGAAACGGAAAUUGCGGCUGCAUUUCUGCUUCCUAAACACUCCAAGGACAGAAAAAGGUUA